UUUUAUUUUAUUUUAGCAAGGUGAAUAACUGAUGGCACUUGGAAGUAAUACAUAUUUUGUUUAAUUGUUCAUGUAUUCAUUCCUUCAAAAAUCUUUAUUGAACUCCUGACAUACUCCCCAAAAUCAUUCUGUGAAGCACUGCCAAGGUAGACAUAGUUUGAGAUAGACAAUGUCAAGUUCGCCAAAUUACCUUUAGAUUAACCUUACCCUAUGAAUGUUUCUGCUGAAAGAAUUCCAAAUAUAUUUAUUUAUUGUGAUUUUACUCUGAAUUGUAUAAGUUUUUUUCUCAUGUUGGUAUUAUUUGUCAUCCUCCUGAUAUUUUCACAAGCAAUAUCUUACUCUUCUUUCUGGUAUUACAUUAUUUUAGGACCCAUAUUUCAUAUCUAAUAUGGACAUAUCAGAUCACAAAAGGAAUUCUCAUCAUUUUUUUCUUUUUCUUUUUCUUUUUUUUUUUUUUUUUUUUUAGAUUUUAUUCAUUUACUUAUGAUAGAGACAGAGAGAGAGGCAGAGACGUAGGCAAAGGGAGAAGCAGGCUCCCUGCGGGGAGCCUGUUGUGGAACCUGAUCCCAGAUCCCAGGAUCACGCCCUGAGCUGAAGGCAAACACUCAACCAUUGAGCCACCCAGGAGUCCCCAUUUUUUUCACUCAUCAGUGACUUGAUAAACAUUUAAUGAAUACGUAAACCACUAAAUUCCACAACAGUGCUAAGGAAACUGACCAUAAAUUGCUUUGGUUGGGACUGAUGCUUCUCCCUUCUUCUCCCAUAUUUUCUUGCCUCUGCUCCAUGCAGAAAUGGAUUUUCCUUGCCUACAGUGAUGGCCCAGGUUGGUUUGAAAUGAUUGGAUUAAAGGAGAUUUAUAGGCACAGGAGCUACAGUGAUGCAAAGACUCCUGGAAAUGAAAGUCCUGACCCCCUUACCUGAAGGCCACUUUUCAGCGAUCAAUUUUUUUCCACCUUUGCAGGCACAAAUACCAAAAUCCAGAAUUCCAACAUGCCUGGAGAGUGUAUCAGGAAGUUCUUUCCAAAACGGAAGUACUUCAUCUUUGGCCUACAAAUGAUAAAAACCUCUUAUUCCAUCUUGAGAAGGUGCCAGAAGACCAGCUGGACAGUACUUUCCAGGAGCAAUCAAAGAAAUUCUGUACCUAUAUUUUCACUCAAAGACCAAGACCAUAACAGAGGGAAUCAUUGUCACUGGCAGCCGGCUGGGGACUCUGUUGAAAGCCUCUGUGAGGGCCAUCAGGAAGGGAGCAGUUCCUUGCUUGGAGAAUGUGCUGACAACUCUGCCUUUGUGUGAGAACUCAGUGGCCAUGCAGACAGCAACUGACCACUACAGCGAGCAGAUGGCCUAGCAUCUGAGGCUCCCCACAGACACGCUCCAGGAACUGCUGGAUGUUCAUGCAGACUGUGAGAGGGAAGCCAUUGAAGUGUUCAUGGAGCACUCCUUCAAGAAUGGCAAGUGGGAAUUCCAGAAAAAACUGAUGGUAGUUGUCUUAGCAUUUAGCACUCCUGAUUUCUCCCCUUGUGAAAUGAUACCUGAGGAAGUCUAUAUUUUUUAUCAAAUAGCUGAUCUCUUUACUGUGGUCAAAGGAGCCUCGAUUAUUGUAAGACAAGGUUCUAUAGGCAAUGGUUUUCUCUUUUAUUAUAUAGGCAUAUUAUUAAUUUUGUAUUGCUGCAUUAAAACUUGUCAUGAAUAUACCAGUUUAAAACAACAAAUAUGAAUAAGCUCAUCAGUCCAUAUAGGUCAGAAGUCUAGCAGGAGGUGACCAUGUGCUCUGCCCCUGAUAUCACAAGACUAAAAACAAGGUGUCAGCCUGACCAAGGUCAUCUGCAGCCCCCUGAAGAGGCUCCAGUUUGUUCAUUAAGGUUGUUGGCAUAUUCAGUCCCUUGGAGUGCAAUUUACAAAAUCAGGGGAAAAGAUCUGUACUUCUAUCUUCACAGGCUGGAAUCCUUGGUGGAAGAAUUCAUGAAAGAUUCCAAACUCUGUUCAGAGUAUCCUUCAGUCAUCACUGGAUGAUUUUAUCUUCUUUGUACACAUUUCCAUCCAGAGCAACCCAAAUUCUCUGAGGAACUGCUACUUCUAGCCACAAUUCAACUUUCUUUGUUCAUUGUUGAUGGUUGAGUCACUGUUAAUCCUACUACAGCAGAAGUAAAAUUGGAGCUUAUUUCUUCCAACUCUAUCAUUUUAUAGAUAAUUCCCCAAAGGAAUUAAGGGGAUUUUUACAAGUAAUAGAGAGAAUUGAUCAGUACUAGGAUUAAAAGUCUCCUGGGGCACUUGGAUGGCCCAGUCAGUUGAG
ensembl:lncRNA